rnacentral:rRNA from 1 species
GCUGGCGGCAGGCCUAACACAUGCAAGUCGAACGGAGUUAUAUUGUAGCUUGCUAUGGUAUAACUUAGUGGCAGACGGGUGAGUAAUGUAUAGGAAUCUACCUAGUAGUACGGAAUAAUUGUUGGAAACGGCAACUAAUACCGUAUACGCCCUACGGGGGAAAAAUUUAUUGCUAUUAGAUGAGCCUAUAUUAGAUUAGCUAGUUGGUGGAGUAAUAGCCUACCAAGGCAAUGAUCUAUAGCUGAUCUGAGAGGAUGAUCAGCCACACUGGAACUGAGAUACGGUCCAGACUCCUACGGGAGGCAGCAGUGGGGAAUAUUGGACAAUGGGCGAAAGCCUGAUCCAGCCAUGCCGCAUGAGUGAAGAAGGCCUUUGGGUUGUAAAGCUCUUUUAGUGAGGAAGAUAAUGACGGUACUCACAGAAGAAGUCCUGGCUAACUCCGUGCCAGCAGCCGCGGUAAUACGGAGAGGGCUAGCGUUAUUCGGAAUUAUUGGGCGUAAAGGGCGCGUAGGCGGAUUAGUAAGUUAAAAGUGAAAUCCCAAGGCUCAACCUUGGAAUUGCUUUUAAAACUGCUAAUCUAGAGAUUGAAAGAGGAUAGAGGAAUUCCUAGUGUAGAGGUGAAAUUCGUAAAUAUUAGGAGGAACACCAGUGGCGAAGGCGUCUACCUGGUUCAAAUCUGACGCUGAGGUGCGAAGGCGUGGGGAGCAAACANGAUUAGAUACCCUGGUAGUCCACGCUGUAAACGAUGAAUGUUAAAUAUG